GGCUAGUGUAAUUUUAUGGGGAGUUUGAAAGAACUGUAUCCCACCAAAACUUAAUGAAGCAGGAGUAGUACUAUUUGAGAGGGACAGCCAGAUCUCAAUGAGUGCCAGCAGUGUGAGAAAAUUUGAGAUGAAGAGAUUGUGUAUAGCAGUCGAUUUCAGAUUGUUGCAGACAGAGUUCCGGAGUGUACACUGAAUGUUGGUAUAUAAGGUUAAAUGGCUGGGUACAUGGAUGAGGUUCAGGUGGUUUCUGUUUGGCUUAGUGUAAGCAGAGGGGAUGAAGGGCCCAGGGUUGGUAGAGAUAUCACUGGCUCCUAGAAGUGGUAGGAGAGAAAAUGACAGGAGGUGAGAGUGGGUUUUG